ACACGUGGGUAUCUCCUUCUCAUACUUUUUCUGUUUGUGUUAUACUCCAUCAUUAUUGUGAUUUUGGGGUCUUGAUGGUUUGAGUUGGAGCUUUAGACAAAUAGAAUUUAAGCAACAUUGGAUUUCAUGUGCUGAACUGAAUUGCAGAACUACUUCACUCACAUUCUGGAAGAUAACUUAAAGGUGACAUCUGAUUCAGUGUUUCAGCUCUCCUAAAUGCCCCGUCUUUUGAGUUGGUUUCUUUGCGAGUAUCACUCACCUUUGGAUAUGCAUAAUGCCUCUUGCUCCUUUUAAUCGAGGUACUUGCAUAAUGUUUGAAUAAACAAAACAUUUAUAGCACAAAUGGAUUUAGUUAUCUGACUGGAAGGGCAUUGUAACUUUCAAGAAAAGGUUUUUGUUUUUCUAUACGAUUGUUAUUGGUCGAAGAGAAAGGUAUGUACUAUGGACUACUUGCCUCUCGAAAUGCAUUCGAUAUUUUCACCAAAUCAAUAUAUUUUAUUAUACCUAAGUAGUAAAUAAGAUGAAAGAUUACAAUAGUUAAUUAAGGACUAAAUAUUCGCUUAAAUGUGUUUAAGAUUCAGGGUAGAGAGUUUAAACCGACAUGAAUUGAUUGAACAACUUUCCAAGACAAUUUGCAAAAGCAUCAGGCACCAUUUGUUUUUUUACCGACGGUAGAGAAAGUUUGUCUCUUCAAAGGUGUCGCAAGGGAAAUUCUAUUGCUUUUGUUAAGAUGAUUUUCAUGAAAGGGUGUCAAUGGUUGUAGUUGCAAAUAUGAAGGCUGAGUACAUACCUCCAAAAGAGGAUAUAAUAUUGCAUAACGAAUCGACUUAUACAUAAUAAAGUCAAGGGAGGUGAAAAUGAUUGAAUAUGAAAUGAAGAAUGAACAAACUGUUUGGACUUCCAAAUCUAGAGAUAUGAUUGGAGAAGUAAGAGCAUUUUGUUGUAGGUAACAUGUAUCGAAUCAACAUAUUUUCGUAGCUCAAGAAGAUCAAAACGAGUAAUUUGAUUAAAGGAAUAAACAUCAGACUAGAUAUAAAGAAAUUCCUUUAGGCUAGUACAAAUACCCUGUAAAGAUAUUUCCACUGGUCAAUUUAGAGUUGAAUCUAUAUGGUAUGCCAAUGUUUUGGAAAUUGUUGCAUCAUAAGAAGCUCAAGGCUUAAGGCUUGGAGAUCUACUUAAUGGAGGUUGGUAGGAUUAUGGUGAUCCGAACAUGUAUAUUUUUGAAGUUUCGAUGGCAACGGAGAGAAGAAUGAGAUGGGAGAUAGAAAAAAGAACUUUUGAAGUGCAAUGUUGUUUCUUAAACUUUUCUCCUUUGCCCUAACACAGGUCUCAUCCUUCUUAAAUUGGAGUAGCUCAUUUAAAGAUGCAACUUUUCUAGAAAUGUCAUUCAUUCACAACAUAAAUGUGUGUUGCUAAACUCAUGUUGUGUGAAUAUAUUUGUGAUUGUAAUUUAAAGUAUGAGCUAGAGCUCGACAUGAAUAAUGCAUGCUACAUUUUUUUGGAAUAAUGUGAGAAUCUGGAAAUUAUUUUUUGGUCCCAUAUAAUAUAUCAAUUCUAUGGUAGUUAGUAUUAUCAAAGCUUGAAUUACUUUUAUAGUUGUGAGAUUGUGGUAUGCAUUAGUUAUGUGUAUACUAUUUUAGUUCCUUUUUAUCUUACAUUAGUUAUGUGUUUCCCAACAAGUUCUUUCUCAUAUAUUUCAAAAAACAAACUCUCCCACGAAUUUCUCUUUUAUUUUUUCUUCAUUCUUUCGACCCGUGAUUCUUUGUCUUGUGUUCUUUUCUCUUCUUUUUUUUCUUCAGAAAUUGAAAAAUAUAUCUCCAAAGAUAUGCACAAUAGUUCUUUUAAUUAAGGUAUGCAUAUUUAUUUGAUUUUGAGGUUUGUUUGCUGAUUUUGAUUUUGUUUAAAUCUUUCAAAAAAUUUAUUGUUUAGUUGAGUAGUAACUUCUGCAAUUUCAUUAGGGUUUUCAAUUAGGGUUUUGGAUAUUAAAAACCUGGAGAUCCCUCUCUAAUGGCCUAAUCUAAAAGGAUUGUAUACAACUUAAUCAUCAAUUGUCUAUCUAUUUACAUCUUUUAAUCUAUUUAUUA